rnacentral:rRNA from 1 species
UACAGAGGUCCCAAGCGUUGUUCGGAUUCAUUGGGCGUAAAGGGUGCGUAGGUGGCGCUGUAAGUCGGGUGUGAAAUUUCGGAGCUUAACUCCGAAACUGCAUUCGAUACUGCGGGUCUCGAGUCCGGGAGAGGUGAGUGGAAUUCCUAGUGUAGAGGUGAAAUUCGUAGAUAUUAGGAAGAACACCAGUGGCGAAGGCGGCUCACUGGCCCGGUACUGACGCUGAGGCGCGAAAGCGUGGGGAGCAAACAGG